rnacentral:rRNA from 1 species
AUUGAACGCUGGCGGCAUGCCUUACACAUGCAAGUCGAACGGUAACAGGUCUUCGGAUGCUGACGAGUGGCGAACGGGUGAGUAAUACAUCGGAACGUGCCCAGACGUGGGGGAUAACGAGGCGAAAGCUUUGCUAAUACCGCAUACGAUCUAAGGAUGAAAGCAGGGGACCGCAAGGCCUUGCGCGUUUGGAGCGGCCGAUGGCAGAUUAGGUAGUUGGUGGGAUAAAAGCUUACCAAGCCGACGAUCUGUAUCUGGUCGGAGAGGACGACCAGCCACACUGGGACUGAGACACGGCGCAGACUCCUACGGGAGGCAGCAGUGGGGAAUUUUGGACAAUGGGCGAAAGCCUGAUCCAGCAAUGCCGCGUGCAGGAUGAAGGCCUUCGGGUUGUAAACUGCUUUUGUACGGAACGAAAAGGCCCUGGCUAAUACCUGGGGCACAUGACGGUACCGUAAGAAUAAGCACCGGCUAACUACGUGCCAGCCGCCGCAGUAAAAC